rnacentral:rRNA from 1 species
UACGGGGGGGGCAAGCGUUGUUCGGAAUUACUGGGCGUAAAGGGCUCGUAGGCGGCCAACUAAGUCGGACGUGAAAUCCCCAGGCUCAACCUGGGAACUGCGUCCGAUACUGGAUGGCUUGAAUCCGGGAGAGGGAUGCAGAAUUCCAGGUGUAGCGGUGAAAUGUGUAGAGAUCAGGAGGAACACCGGUGGCGCAGGCGGCCCGCUGGACGGAGACUGACGCUGAGGCGCGAAAGCGUGGGGAGCAAACGGG